rnacentral:rRNA from 1 species
AUUGAACGCUGGAGGCAGGCUUAACACAUGCAAGUCGAGCGAGCGGAGGACGGGAGAGUAAUGUCUGGGAAACUGCCUGAUGGAGGGGGAUAACUAUUGGAACCGGUAGCUACUACCUCAUAACACACGAUGUGCCAAGAUGGGAUUAGCUAGUGGGUAGGGUAAUGGCUCAACUAGGAGACGAUCCCUAGCUGGUCUGAGAGGAUGACCAGCCAAAAGUGAACUGAGACAAGGUCCAGACUCCUACGGUCGGCAGCAUUGGGUAAUAUUGCACAAUGGGCGCAAGCGUGAUGGAGCCAUGCCGCGUGGGUGAAGAAGGCCUGCGGGUUGUAAAGCACUUUCGGCGAGGAGGCGUUACCCGCAGAAGAAGCACCGGCUAACUCCGUGCCAGCAGCCGCGGUAAUUC